AGUGAACGCUGGCGGUAGGCCUAACACAUGCAAGUCGAACGGCAGCACAGUAAGAGCUUGCUCUUACGGGUGGCGAGUGGCGGACGGGUGAGGAAUACAUCGGAAUCUACUUUUUCGUGGGGGAUAACGUAGGGAAACUUACGCUAAUACCGCAUACGACCUACGGGUGAAAGCAGGGGAUCUUCGGACCUUGCGCGAUUGAAUGAGCCGAUGUCGGAUUAGCUAGUUGGCGGGGUAAAGGCCCACCAAGGCGACGAUCCGUAGCUGUUCUGAGAGGAUGAUCAGCCACACUGGAACUGAGAAACGGUCCAGACUCCUACGGGAGGCAGCAGUGGGGAAUAUUGGACAAUGGGCGCAAGCCUGAUCCAGCCAUACCGCGUGGGUGAAGAAGGCCUUCGGGUUGUAAAGCCCUUUUGUUGGGAAAGAAAAGCAGCAGGUUAAUACCCCGCUGUUCUGACGGUACCCAAAGAAUAAGCACCGGCUAACUUCGUG
rnacentral:rRNA from 1 species